GUGCGUGUUUUUUUUUUUUGUUUUGUUCCCCCUCUCUCUCUGCGCGCUUUUUGGAGCAUUUUUGGGAGACAGCGCAGUGGAGGAAGAAAGGUAGUGCUCUCUUUCUCUAUCUUCUCCGUGUGCGGCGAUGGCGACUAUGGCGGCUUCAGGCCAUUUCCUUCCCCCCGCUGGAUCUGCCGUUUCGCCCGGUUAUCCGGCGCUCCGUCCGUUGGAUUCUUGAGACUACCCUUGAGUGCUUCAUCAAGGAGCUGUUGUACUAGAGUAUCUUGAAGUCACCGCUGCAGAGUUUUGUGUUCUUCCAAUCAGGAUCAAGUGAAUUGUAUCAGCUAAGCUUGAUGGGUUCCAGAUUCCCAUCACAUCAGCUCAGCAAUGGCCUGUAUGUUUCAGGCCGGCCUGAGCAGCCGAAGGAGAAGCCCCCAACAAUGAGCUCUGUAGCCAUGCCAUACACUGGUGGAGAUAUUAAAAAAUCUGGUGAACUUGGAAAAAUGUUUGACAUUCCUGUGGAUAACUCAAAGUCAAGGAAAUCUGGUCCUAUUACAAAUGCUCCUUCAAGGGUUGGAUCAUUUGGAGGUGCUGCUCAUUCAGGGCCUGUCAUGCCUCACUCUGGUGGUCGGUCUAACUAUUCAUCUGGUCCAGUUUCAUGUGCAGGAAUUCCAGUUACUGGGACCUCAAGUAGACAGAAAUCCAGUUCUGGACCUCUUAACAGACACAGCGAUUCAGUCAAGAAAUCAUCUGGUCCUCAAUCUGGAGGAAUCGCACCAAUGGCUCGCCAAAAUUCUGGUCCCCUUCAUGCAGUGCUUCCAGCCACAGGACUCAUCACGUCUGGACCAAUAUCAGGGCCAUUAAAUUCAUCUGGUGCCCCCCGAAAAGUAUCUGGCCCUUUGGAUUCCACUGGGCCAGCCAAGCUACAUGGCACUUCCAUUGCACACAACCAAGCUGUCACUAAUCUCAGCCAAGAGGUUGACAAUUCUCUCAAGAGCAAUUUCCCCAAAACAAUAUUGUGGGCUAUGAUUCUUCUGUUUGUGAUGGGGUUCAUUGCUGGUGGAUUUAUUCUUGGAGCUGUUCACAAUGCUAUUCUUCUCAUUGUUGUUGUCGCUUUCUUUGGUGCUGCUGCUGCACUUUUCAUUUGGAAUACUUGUUGGGGAAGAAGUGCCAUGAUAGGGUUCAUUGCCCGCUAUCCUGAUGCUGAGCUAAGAACUGCAAAAGAUGGUCAAUAUGUCAAGGUCUCUGGGGUGGUUACCUGUGGAAACAUUCCCCUGGAGUCAUCCUUCCAAAAGGUGCCCAGAUGUGUGUACACAUCUACAAGUUUAUAUGAAUACAGGGGUUGGGACUCUAAGGCUGCCAAUCCCCAUCAUCGCUGUUUUACUUGGGGGCUUAGAUCAAUGGAGAGACAUGUGGUCGACUUUUACAUCUCUGAUUUUCAGUCAGGAUUACGAGCACUGGUCAAGACAGGCUAUGGUGCAAGAGUGACUCCAUACGUUGAUGAGUCCAUUGUUGUUGACAUUAAUCCAAACAACAAAGAUUUGUCUCCUCAUUUUAUAAGGUGGUUGGGGGAGAGGAACCUUUCAAGUGAUGAUCGUGUGAUGCGCUUGAAAGAAGGGUAAUUGGAGCCUUCUAAGAUAUUUUAAAUUUAGUAGCUCUGUCUGUUUCUUUUCUUUAUUCAGCGAAGACUCAAGCUUCCUGACUCCCUGUGCUACAAAACUUCUGGACAAGAUCUCUAAUAUCUGGGAGUCUUAUUCUGGAUAUGUUAAUAUAUUUUCUAGAAACCUACACUUCAAUCAUUAGUGGAGUUGGGGAGGCACACAUGAACACUGAGAGUUAUGGUAUAUCAAGGAGGGAAGCACUGUGAGCGUAAUGGGGGUUGUCCAAAGAAAUGACAAUGUCUUAAUGAUUGUUCCUCCAUCAGAGCCAAUAUCUACAGGAUGCCAGUGGGCCAAGUGUAUACUUCCUGCAAGCCUUGAAGGAGUAGUUUUGAGAUGUGAAGACACUUCAAAGAUCGAUGUCAUACCAGUAUAGCAAGUGCAAUGUUGGUUCGGUGGUGAUCCGGCGUAUGCCACUUCCAGGGUUUGUUGCCGUGGCAGCGACAAGUGCCUGAAAGACGGCAAUGAUUUAUGAUAUUAAGUUGGAGGUUGUUUUUCUUGGCUUCUAUUGUAUAGCUUUCUCUGGUUUUUCCUUCCUUUUUUUUUUAUUCAGUAGGCUCAAAAGCUUUUGUAACAAGGAUCUGUUGAUGUGUUUCAGAAAGUAGACAAUGUGACUUGGGCAUAUGCUAGAAAAUAUUUGAGCUAUUGUCUGAAAUCAGAUUUGGCCCA